rnacentral:lncRNA from 13 species
GGGUCUCUGCAUGGAAAAAGCGAUUUUAGGAAUUAAAAAAAAAAAAAGAUCUUCAAAUAGGGUGGAAGGAAGGCUUGCCAGGAGGGUGCGGGACGUAGCGGUCCGGGGAAGCUGUGUUUUUCCUAGAGUGUCUUUCUCUCCGCUUCCUGGUUUCAGGGACCCAUCCACCCACCUGCCCGCGGCCUCACCCGCGCCCCCUGCCGUCCCGGGGCACGCACGGCCGGGCGGGGAUGGCGAGGAGGUCGGAGAAGGCGCGGGCCGGCGGCGGGCUGCAAAGGUCUGGCGGCGCGGGCUGAUUUAGUGGCCGGGGCUGUAGUACAGGCUGUCCCCGGCAGCCGGCGGAGUCAGCGCGCCCACGUGACGGCCCCGGCUCUCCGGUGAGCUCCCCAAACAGACGCACACCCAGCCACACGCGCGCGCUCGCGCGCGCGCGCACACCACACACACACACACACACACACGCACGCACCCCCGCGCGCACACGCCCGCCCGCCCGCUCGCGCUGCCUCUGCGCCUCCAUCCCGGCUCGCUCAUUAUCUCGCCCUCUCGCUUCCCCUGCGGUCUCUAGCUCUGCGCGCACACCCCGCACACACGCACACGCACACACACGCGCGCACACACGCAGCCGGCACAGGCGGCGGCGGCGGCUGCCCAAGUCAGGACGAACCUCUCUAGGUACCGUCUUGAGAAGGCGGCAGCGGCGGCGGCGGCGGCGGUGGCGGUGGCGGCGGCGGCGGCAGCCCGAGCAUCCCUCCUCUCCCGGAGAGGGAGCACCGCCGAGAGUUUCCGUUCCCUUUGCCAUUCCCUUCCCCCUCCUUUUCUUUAUUUUCGAGAGAAUUUCUUCUUGGCUUAUUGGUUUAAUUUGAUUUUGAAAAUUUUGGGUUGCUUUUGUGUGUGUGUGCUUUUUUUUCUUUCCUCAUUUUAUUUGCAUCCAGAGCAUGGCGGGCUGCGGGCUGUCGGAAGACACCCUCUUCUCUUCCUUCUUUUACAACUACGGCUCCUCCUGGGAAACCCCUUCCAACCAGGUUUUUGGUAAACAACAGUUCUGUGCUCCACAGGAGAGGUGGAGACUCAAAGAUCGCCUGGGCACAUGCCCACUUUGGGGUAGGCAGUGGGACAUUUGGGGUUAUAGGUUUGCUCAUGGGUUGGUUUGGAGAAUGCCUACAGCAGCCCUAGCUUCCUUUCCAGCUUUUGAACUGAGUCGUCAGAACUUGGCCAGGCUUUUCUGGCUGGACCCCAAUUUUAAGGUCCCCGUGGCUGGCUGGACCCCCUCCCUGAGAUGUGGUGAUGAAGUGGGCACUACUCUCUGGGCACCCUUACCUAUGGGAUGUUGA